rnacentral:rRNA from 1 species
UACGUAGGUGGCAAGCGUUGUCCGGAAUUAUUGGGCGUAAAGCGCGCGCAGGCGGUCCUUUAAGUCUGAUGUGAAAGCCCACGGCUCAACCGUGGAGGGUCAUUGGAAACUGGGGGGACUUGAGUGCAGGAGAGAAGAGUGGAAUUCCACGUGUAGCGGGUGAAAAUGCGUAGAUAUCAAGAGGAACACCUGAGGUGAAAGACGGGGUUGCUGGGCUGACACUGACGCUGGAGGCGCGAAAGCCAGGGGAGC